AGUACCCUGCGGUGUGCGUGAUGUCAACCAAGUGCUCUGAGCCAACACCUGAUAAUCGGGUGCCGGAUGUUCUGGAGGCCAGGCGUUAGCUCCCUGCGAGCAAGGCUGAUGUCGUCGGACAGGUACCCACCUGCGCAAGCAGGUUCAGGCCCUAUGGCACACGGCACGGCGGGGCACUU
rnacentral:other from 1 species